CCAACAUAUGAAUAAACUGACUAAAUUCCAUAUUUUACACAUCUUCUUGAGGAGCUUGAGGAGGACUAUAGGGGACCGGUGGAACUCCACAAGAAUAAUCAGAAACUAGACUCCUAGACCGGGUUUGUACCCCAUAAGCAUGGUGUGUCCCAUUAGUGUUGUCCUCAAGUAGGAUAAAGGAAUUUCCAUGAUCUUCAGAUCAUCUGGGAGGCGUGAUCUGAAAGAGAACAUGUGGGAAUUAGAGAGACUCAAGACCUUAGACUCUAUAGCUUGAAACAGAACAACAAGAAAGAGAAACAUUCCUGCAUGCCUCAUAGACUCUCCGUUAUAAGUGU
rnacentral:lncRNA from 1 species